UGAGGAAUUUUCUGCAAUGGGCGAAAGCCUGACAGAGCAAUACCGCGUGAGGGAUGAAGACUUACUGAGUUGUAAACCUCGGUGCCUUAAGGAAGAAGAUAUGACGGUACUUAAGGUGGAAAGCAUCGGCUAACUCCGUGCCAGCAGCCGCGGUAAGACGGGGGAUGCAAGUGUUAUCCGGAAUUACUGGGCGUAAAGCGUCUGCAGGUGGUUUCCUAAGUCUACUGUUAAACCUUGAGGCUCAACCUCAAAUCUGCAGUGGAAACUAGGAGACUUGAGUAUAGUAGGGGUAGAGGGAAUUUCCAGUGGAGCGGUGAAAUGCGUAGAUAUUGGAAAGAACACCGAUGGCGAAGGCACUCUACUGGGCUAUUACUGACACUCAGAGACGAAAGCUAGGGGA
rnacentral:rRNA from 1 species